rnacentral:miRNA from 10 species
UAUCAGGAUAGGCAAAAGUAAUUGCAGAGUGAGCAUUUGUUUUUUAUUAAAACUGCAAUUACUUUUGGACCAAC